rfam:Ixodes scapularis strain Wikel colony gcontig_1107728737826, whole genome shotgun sequence.
CCCUGGUUAGCUCAGUCGGUAGAGCGCUCCACCUGUAAUGGAGAGGUCCCGGGUUCGAUACCCGGACCAGGCG